UACGAAGGGUGCUAGCGUUGUUCGGAUUCACUGGGCGUAAAGGGUGCGUAGGUGGUGAGGUAAGUCGGAUGUGAAAGCUCGGAGCUCAACUCCGAAAUGGCAUUGGAAACUACCUUGCUCGAGGGUUGGAGGGGGGACUGGAAUACUUGGUGUAGCAGUGAAAUGCGUAGAUAUCAAGUGGAACACCAGUGGCGAAGGCGAGUCCCUGGACAACUCCUGACACUGAGGCACGAAAGCUAGGGGAGCAAACAGG
rnacentral:rRNA from 1 species